GGUAGUCCACGCCCUAAACGAUGUCUACUAGUUGUCGGGUUUUAAUUAACUUGGUAACGCAGCUAACGCGUGAAGUAGACCGCCUGGGGAGUACGGUCGCAAGAUUAAAACUCAAAGGAAUUGACGGGGACCCGCACAAGUGGUGGAUGAUGUGGAUUAAUUCGAUGCAACGCGAAAAACCUUACCUACCCUUGACAUGGCAGAGAUCCCGAAGAGAUUUGGGAGUGCUCGAAAGAGAAUCUGCACACAGGUGCUGCAUGGCUGUCGUCAGCUCGUGUCGUGAGAUGUUGGGUUAAGUCCCGCAACGAGCGCAACCCUUGUCAUUAGUUGCUACGAAAGAGCACUCUAAUGAGACUGCCGGUGACAAACCGGAGGAAGGUGGGGAUGACGUCAAGUCCUCAUGGCCCUUAUGGGUAGGGCUUCACACGUCAUACAAUGGUACAUACAGAGGGCCGCCAACCCGCGAGGGGGAGCUAAUCCCAGAAAGUGUAUCGUAGUCCGGAUUGUAGUCUGCAACUCGACUGCAUGAAGUUGGAAUCGCUAGUAAUCGCGGAUCAGCAUGUCGCGGUGAAUACGUUCCCGGGUCUUGUACACACCGCCCGUCACACCAUGGGAGCGGGUUUUACCAGAAGUAGGUAGCUUAACCGCAAGGAGGGCGCUUACCACGGUAGGAUUCGUGACUGGGGUGAAGUCGUAACAAGGUAGCCGUAUCGGAAGGUGC
rnacentral:rRNA from 1 species